UACGUAGGUGGCAAGCGUUACUCGGAAUUACUAGGCGUAAAGCGCAGGUAGGUGGUUUGAUAAGUCCGUAAUGAAAUCUCCCGGCUUAACUGGGAGGGGUUUAGGGAUACUGUCAGGCUUGAGUGUGGGAGAGGGUAGUGGAAUUCCCAGUGUAGCGGUGAAAUGCGUAGAUAUUGGGAGGAACACCGGUGGCGAAGGCGGCUACCUGGACCGGUACUGACGCUGAGGCGCGAAAGCUAGGGGAGCAAACGGG
rnacentral:rRNA from 1 species